AUAUAUAUGUUAAUCUUGGCCUGCAGCGGCGUGAUCUCGAUGGUGGGUGAGCGAGCGAGCGAGCACGCCGUGUUCCCCUUUCCCUUCUUCCUUCCUUGGAACCACCCCACCCCCCACCUUUGAAUUAUUCUCGCGCAUCACCGCCUUUUGUACAUCUAUAUCUAGCUAACCGGACUAGUAGUAGCCAUUAGCCAGGGGAAACGCUCCAUAAAAAGCCCUAAUCACCCGCCCCACACCACCAACGCAGCAAAGCUCCCGUCCCCCUAAUUACCCCACCUCCAUCUUCCUCUCCCUCUCUCUCUCUCUCUC
rnacentral:lncRNA from 1 species